CUGGCUUCUCCUGGUGCAGGCUCCACGCUGUCAGUGAGGCUCAGCCACGAAGAUCUUCAGACAGAGGGAGGAGGGGAUCUGAGCUCCUGCUGGAACGCCAGGGCUCUUCCUCUGCCAAUAUUCUUUUAACUGUGGGAAAAAAGAGCAGUAACACUCAUGAGAACUAUCAGCCCCUACAGCCACAUCCUCCUUUACAGUUUUCACAAAAUACUCUUAUACACCAUCUGAUUUAACGCCACCACCAACUGUACAAGGUGUUGUCACAAUCCUUUAGUGACUGAGAGGAAUUGAUAUCAUGGAUAGAAAAAAAAA